GCAGCAGUAGGGAAUCUUCCGCAAUGGACGCAAGUCUGACGGAGCAACGCCGCGUGAGUGAAGAAGGGUUUCGGCUCGUAAAACUCUGUUGUUAAGGAAGAAUGUCAUGUAUUUAACUGAUAUGUGAGUGACGGUACUUAACCAGAAAGCCACGGCUAACUACGUGCCAGCAGCCGCGGUAAUACGUAGGUGGCAAGCGUUAUCCGGAAUUAUUGGGCGUAAAGCGCGCGUAGGCGGUUCCUUAAGUCUGAUGUGAGAGCCCCCGGCUCAACCGGGGAGGGUCAUUGGAAACUGGGGAACUUGAGUGCAGAAGAGGAGAGUGGAAUUCCAUGUGUAGCGGUGAAAUGCGCAGAGAUAUGGAGGAACACCAGUGGCGAAGGCGGCUCUCUGGUCUGUAACUGACGCUGAUGUGCGGAAGCGUGGGGAUCAAACAGGAUUAGAUACCCUGGUAGUCCACGCCGUAAACGAUGAGUGCUGAGUGUUAGGGGGUUUCCGCCCCUUAGUGCUGCAGCUAACGCAUUAAGCACUCCGCCUGGGGAGUACGACCGCAAGG
rnacentral:rRNA from 1 species